GGGUGAAGGCUGCUUUCUGAAGUGGAGUGCUUUCUUGCUAGAAACCCUCACCACCACUUGGUUUUCAGGACUCUGAAAGUUACCUUGUUCCUGCUGUUCUGUACUCCUGGAGCAAGCUGAAAUGUUUUGUUUACAUGAAGAUCAACAAAUAUCAGAUAUUUGCCAAGUGCAGAGGUUGUUUGAAUUUGGAGGUCCAGAAGGGUUUCUGAAAUUUCACUCUGCUUCUGUGUUGGGAUGGCACCCAGGUGCAAGACUUGGCUCUUUGCUGAAUUUCAUGGGGAUCCUGUCAGCCCAUUUCUCUGGUGUCUCGAGGUUCCUCUAGAGGGCAGCAUAAAAAAUCCUGAAAUUCCAAUGAGAUUUGAAAUUAGACAUUUGAAAUCCAAACCCUGGAUUGAGGGUCUAGAGUACUAACCAUUUCUCCAAGGAACUACUCAAGUCUUUGUGAUGGCAUUAGCUGUUGAUGCAAAAUAUCUGGAUCUUCUGAAUGGUCUCAUCACCUGAAAAGAAUGAUUAACUACCAACAUAACUGUGACCUGACUUCUGUAGGAAAAAAAAAGAAAAGAAUGAUUUCCUUCAAUAUAGUUAAAAAAUACAGAUAGGAAAUAUGAUUGCUUUGAGUGGAAUUUUAGCACUCAAAUAAUCAAUAAAUGCUGUUAUUUUGCUUAAAACACUCUGGAAAAUAGGUGUCAUUAUUUUAAAUUAUGUAAUUACAUAGAAUUACUGUAAUUGUUUCAAGAGUGAACAUGUAAUGUUAAAGGUUAUUUCUUAGGUUAGGACAAUUGUUAAAGCAUUUUGAAUGUAGUUCUUGUAAGGAUGAAAGAUUAUCCUGUCUUGGUAUGGCUCUGCUAAGCCCUGCUCAGGCCACAUCAGGAGCACUGUGCUAAGCACAAGGGAAGUACAAAACUACUGGAGACAGUCCAACAAAGGGCUACAAAGGUGAUGAAAGGACUGAAGCAUCUUUCCUGUAAGUAAAGGUUUAAAGAGAUGGAACUAUUCAACCUGGGAAUACUCAAGGCAGAUCUGAUUAAUACAUAUAAAUUCCUGAAGAGUGAGUGUAAAGAGAACAGAGCCAAGCCCCUUUUAGUGGUGUCCACUGGUGGGACUGGAGGCAAUAGGAUUAAAACAGAACGUAUUUACGGUGCUGGUGACUGAGCACUAGAACAAGAAGCCAUCAUGCAGCAGGAAAACCAUGACUUAGUUGCCAUCACCAAAGCAUGGUGGAAUCACUCUCAUGAUAGGAGUGCUGCAGUGGAGGGCUAUAAGUCCUUUGGACGGGAUAGGCAAGGAAGGAGGGGCAGUGAGGUGGCUCUCUACAUUAAGAAGUGUUUUGAUAUUGUAGAGCUAGGAUCUGGCAAUUAUAAGGUUGAGUGCCUUUGAGUAAAAAUCAGGGGGAAAGCCAACAAGAAUGACAUAGCAGACCACCCAGCCAGAACGAAGAAACAGAUGAAUCAUUCUGUGUGCAGCUGGCACAUGUUCCCUUGUUCUCAUGGGAGACUUCAACUUACCUAACUAUUGCCGGAAAUACAAUUUAUUGACCUUGAAACUAGAUUUCAGAAAACAGUAAAACAAGAAAAAAGGAAAAACAAACAAACAAACAAACAAAAAAAAAAACAUGCUCUGAGAAAAGACAUUACUUUUUUGAUGAAACAGAAAUGUAACCAGUGGAAGUGUAAUGUUGAUAGAAUACAUCAGUAAUUUCACUUAUGAAAAAGAGAAACACUACUGAAAGGUUGAUCACCUAUAGUCCAGAUAUUCUUGGACUAUAACAGCCAAAAUUUCAG